GUGAGUAGUUCAGAGUUUGAUCCUGGCUCAGGAUGAACGCUGGCGGCGUGCAUAACACAUUCAAGUCGAACGAGGUAGCAAUACCUAGUGGCGGACGGGUGAGUAACGCGUGAGCAACCUGCCCUUGUGUGGGGGAUACCGUCUGGAAACGGACGUUAAUACCGCAUAACACAAGAAGGCCGCAUGACCUUCUUGUCAAAGAUUUAUUGCGCAAGGAUGGGCUCGCGUUGGAUUAGAUAGUUGGUGAGGUAACGGCUCACCAAGUCUGCGAUCCAUAGCCGGACUGAGAGGUUGAACGGCCACAUUGGAACUGAGAUACGGUCCAG
rnacentral:rRNA from 1 species